AGAACGAACGCUGGCGGCAGGCCUAACACAUGCAAGUCGAACGCCCGAGCAAUCGGGAGUGGCAGACGGGUGAGUAACGCGUGGGAACCUUCCCAAUGGUACGGAAUAGCCCAGGGAAACUUGGCGUAAUACCGUAUACGCCCGUAAGGGGAAAGAUUCAUCGCCAUUGGAUGGGCCCGCGUAGGAUUAGCUAGUUGGUGAGGUAACGGCUCACCAAGGCGACGAUCCUUAGCUGGUCUGAGAGGACGAUCAGCCACACUGGGACUGAGACACGGCCCAGACUCCUACGGGAGGCAGCAGUAGGGAAUCUUGCGCAAUGGGCGAAAGCCUGACGCAGCGACGCCGCGUGAGGGAUGAAUGCCUUCGGGUUGUAAACCUCUUUCAGCAGGGACGAAGCCUCACGGUGACGGUACCUGCAGAAGAAGCCCCGGAUAACUACGUGCCAGCCAGCCGC
rnacentral:rRNA from 1 species